GUCUGCGGCCACGCCACCCUGAACACACCCGAUCCGGCUGAUCUCGGACGCUAAGCAGGGUCGGGCCUGGUGAGUACUUGGAUGGGAGACCACCUAGGAAGACCAGGUGCAGUAGGUG
rnacentral:rRNA from 1 species